GUGUGACGUACUCAUUAAUCCCAAGUGAGAUUCAUCUUUCUUUUUUUUUUUUUUAGAUAAACACUGAUUUAAAACCCAUAGAUACACUCACUUUGAUUUCACUACUUUGUGCAAGGCUAUAUUUACAUCUGAAAGAGUAUGCUGUUCUUGGUUCAAGUUCGUUUGUCCAGUGAGAGACUUGUGAAAGAGGGCUUAGUGAAAGAAUACGUUUAUUCCGACGCGUAGCACAUUAACCUUCGAUAGCAUGGUCACAUGUCACAAGGAAAGUCUUAUAUGAUCUUACAGAAAUACGUAGGUUAUUUAGAGUAGAAUUAACAUAUCAACAAUGGCAUAAUUCAAUUAUCCACAGGUAUCAGUCUGGAGGAAAUGUAGGGGUGUGGGCUACUCGGGACCUUUUGGCAAGGGGGGUUUAAUUCAAUAUGUGGGGGUUAUCUGAUGUAUGUAUGUGUUUGAUGUAACUCUUUAAAGGAUGUGGACGAUAUGUCUGCUUGGGGGGAGUUUGAGGUGGUAAGUGUGCCUGUUGGUCAAGGUCUGAGAGGAAAUGCCAGGCAGAGGGGUCCAGUUGAAAUGCUAAUAUGUCUGUCUCCAACCAUCUGGUGUGGCUGAAGCUAACAGGGUGGGGGGUUUAUUAAUAUGGUCUGAUAUGUGAAAUACACCAAAAUCUAACACAUAAUUAUUGACAACUACGUUCUUUAUGCGCUUGGACUUGCAGUGAAACCCCUGAGUUAUUUUGAACACAGUUUUUCUAUUUGGUUUGGAAAUGAAAAGUGGUUUGAAGUCCAAGGCAGACAAGACUGUGAAAGCUACAGACUAUGCCAGCUCAUCAAAGGGGAGUCCAUCCAUGACACGGUUCCUUUUUACACCAAGGCCUUCAAACCUCCUAGAGGAAACUUCUUCAUGAUUGCAAAAGUAUUUGAUGCAACAAAUGUCAUCCAUCUGAACAUCACAGUUGAAGUUAAAAAAUAAAAGUCAACAGCCCUUGGAGCAUUCACCAUCACCCAUCACAGGCUAAGAAAAAAAAUGCAGUUAUUCUCAGCACCAUGUUUAAAAUCCACAUCAUCACUGUAUUCUCUUGGAUGUUAUUUUUUAAACACAGUGAGGUACCAAAGAUACUAUGCAUUAAACCUCAACAUUACAUAGAUUUCCUUUCGAAAUGGGCUUCAAUGAAUGGUUUCAGAAAUGGAGAUUGAAUGCUAUGCUAUGGAGAAUAAAGAGUUCAUAAGCAAUAUUCUUUAGUAUUGG
rnacentral:lncRNA from 1 species